UAGUAACUGCGAGUGAAGCGGGAAAAGCUCAAAUUUAAAAUCUGGCAGCUUUGGCUGUCCGAGUUGUAAUCUGGAGAAGCGUCUUCCGCGCUGGACCGUGUACAAGUCUCCUGGAACGGAGCGUCAUAGAGGGUGAGAAUCCCGUCUUUGACACGGACUACCAGUGCUUUGUGAUGCGCUCUCAAAGAGUCGAGUUGUUUGGGAAUGCAGCUCAAAAUGGGUGGUAAACUCCAUCUAAAGCUAAAUAUUGGCGAGAGACCGAUAGCGAACAAGUACCGUGAGGGAAAGAUGAAAAGCACUUUGGAAAGAGAGUUAAACAGUACGUGAAAUUGCUGAAAGGGAAACGCUUGAAGUCAGUCGCGUUUGCUAGGACUCAGCCUUGCCUCGGCUUGGUGCACUUCCUAGUAGACGGGCCAGCAUCACUUUUGGCUGCGGGAGAAAGAUCAGAGGAAUGUGGCACCUUCGGGUGUGUUAUAGCCUCUGGUUGUAUGCCGUGGCUGGGAGUGAGGAUCUCAGCACGCCUUAUGGCGGGGCUUCGGCCACCUUCGUGCUUAGGAUGCUGGCGUAAUGGCUUUAAACGACCCGUCUUGAAACACGGACCAAGGAGUCUAACAUGCCUGCGAGUGUUUGGGUGGAAAACCCGAGCGCGUAAUGAAAGUGAAAGUUGGGAUCUCUGUCGUGGAGAGCACCGACGCCCGGACCAGACCUUCUGUGACGGAUCCGCGGUAGAGCAUGUAUGUUGGGACCCGAAAGAUGGUGAACUAUGCCUGAAUAGGGUGAAGCCAGAGGAAACUCUGGUGGAGGCUCGUAGCGAUUCUGACGUGCAAAUCGAUCGUCAAAUUUGGGUAUAGGGGCGAAAGACUAAUCGAACCAUCUAGUAGCU
rnacentral:rRNA from 1 species